rnacentral:rRNA from 1 species
ACGAACGCUGGCGGCGUGCCUAAUACAUGCGAGUCGAACGAGCUCUCCCAAAUUGAUUUUAUGCUUGCAUAAAUGAUUUUUGGAUUCGGAGCGAGUGGCGAACUGGUGAGUAACACGUGGGUAACCUGCCCCGAAGCGGGGGAUAACAUUUGGAAACAAGUGCUAAUACCGCAUAAUUAGUUGGAACCGCAUGGUUCCAACUUGAAAGAUGGCUCUGCUAUCACUUUGGGAUGGACCCGCGCCGUAUUAGUUAGUUGGUGAGAUAAAAGCCCACCAAGACGAUGAUACGUAGCCGACCUGAGAGGGUAAUCGGCCACAUUGGGACUGAGACACGGCCCAGACUCCUACGGGAGGCAGCAGUAGGGAAUCUUCCACAAUGGACGAAAGUCUGAUGGAGCAACGCCGCGUGAGUGAUGAAGGUUUUCGGAUCGUAAAACUCUGUUGUUAAAGAAGAACAAGUGUUAGAGUAACUGUUAACACUUUGACGGUAUUUAACCAGAAAGCCACGGCUAACUACGUGCCAGCAGCCGCGGUAAUACGUAGGUGGCAAGCGUUGUCCGGAUUUAUUGGGGCGUAAAGCGAGCGCAGGCGGUUUUGUAAGUCUGCUGUGAAAGCCCUCAGCUCAACUGAGGAAGUGCAGUGGAAACUACAAAACUUGAGUACAGAAGAGGAAAGUGGAACUCCAUGUGUAGCGGUGAAAUGCGUAGAUAUAUGGGAAGAACACCAGUGGCGAAGGCGGCUUUCUGGUCUGUUACUGACGCUGAGGCUCGAAAGCAUGGGUAGCGAACAGGAUUAGAUACCCUGGUAGUCCAUGCCGUAAACGAUGAAUACUAGGUGUUGGAGGGUUUCCGCCCUUCAGUGCCGCAGCUAACGCAUUAAGUAUUCCGCCUGGGGAGUACGACCGCAAGGUUGAAACUCAAAGGAAUUGACGGGGGCCCGCACAAGUGGUGGAGCAUGUGGUUUAAUUCGAUGCUACGCGAAGAACCUUACCAGCUCUUGACAUCUUCUGCCAACCCAAGAGAUUGGGCGUUCCCUUCGGGGACAGAAUGACAGGUGGUGCAUGGUUGUCGUCAGCUCGUGUCGUGAGAUGUUGGGUUAAGUCCCGCAACGAGCGCAACCCUUAUUAUUAGUUGCCAGCAUUUAGUUGGGCACUCUAGUGAGACUGCCGGUGAUAAACCGGAGGAAGGUGGGGACGACGUCAAAUCAUCGUGCCCCUUAUGAGCUGGGCUACACACGUGCUACAAUGGAUGGUACAACGAGUCGCGAAACCGCGAGGUCAAGCUAAUCUCUUAAAGCCAUUCUCAGUUCGGAUUGCAGGCUGCAACUCGCCUGCAUGAAGUUGGAAUCACUAGUAAUCGUGGAUCAGCAUGCCACGGUGAAUACGUUCCCGGGC